rnacentral:rRNA from 1 species
AGCUCCAAUAGCGUAUGUUUAAGUUGUUGCGGUUAAAAAGCUCGUAGUUGGAUUUCGGGUGGGCGCCGCCGGUCUCCCUUUCGGUAGUACUGGUGUGCGCGCACCUUGCUGCCGGAAACGCGCGCUCGGAUUUUAACUGAUUUGAGCCGCGGGUUCGGCGAUGUUACUUUGAGUAAAUUAGAGUGUUCAAAGCAAGCCAACGCUCUGAAUAUGAUAGCAUGGGAUAACACGACAGGACUCUGGCCUAUUUGUGUUGGUCUGUAGGACCGGAGUAAUGAUUAAGAGGGACAGUCGGGGGCAUUCGUAUUCCAUUGUCAGAGGUGAAAUUCAUAGAUUUAUGGAAGACGAACAUCUGCGAAAGCAUUUGCCAAGGAUGUUUUCA